UACGAAGGGGGCUAGCGUUGUUCGGAAUCACUGGGCGUAAAGGGCGCGUAGGCGGCCUGGCAAGUCGGGGGUGAAAGCCUGUGGCUCAACCACAGAAUGGCCUUCGAUACUGUCGGGCUUGAGACCGGAAGAGGUCAGUGGAACUGCGAGUGUAGAGGUGAAAUUCGUAGAUAUUCGCAAGAACACCAGUGGCGAAGGCGGCUGACUGGUCCGGUUCUGACGCUGAGGCGCGAAAGCGUGGGGAGCAAACAGG
rnacentral:rRNA from 1 species